UAACACUGAGGCGUGAUGACGAGGCACUACGGUGCUGAAGCAACAAAUGCCCUGCUUCCAGGAAAAGCCUCUAAGCAUCAGGUAACACGAAAUCGUACCCCAAACCGACACAGGUGGUCAGGUAGAGAAUACCAAGGCGCUUGAGAGAACUCGGGUGAAGGAACUAGGCAAAAUGGUGCCGUAACUUCGGGAGAAGGCACGCUGACACGUAGGUGAAGUGAUUUACUCAUGGAGCUGAAGUCAGUCGAAGAUACCAGCUGGCUGCAACUGUUUAUUAAAAACACAGCACUGUGCAAACACGAAAGUGGACGUAUACGGUGUGACGCCUGCCCGGUGCCGGAAGGUUAAUUGAUGGGGUCAGCGCAAGCGAAGCUCCUGAUCGAAGCCCCGGUAAACGGCGGCCGUAACUAUAACGGUCCUAAGGUAGCGAAAUUCCUUGUCGGGUAAGUUCCGACCUGCACGAAUGGCGUAAUGAUGGCCAGGCUGUCUCCACCCGAGACUCAGUGAAAUUGAACUCGCUGUGAAGAUGCAGUGUACCCGCGGCAAGACGGAAAGACCCCGUGAACCUUUACUAUAGCUUGACACUGAACAUUGAGCCUUGAUGUGUAGGAUAGGUGGGAGGCUUUGAAGUGUGGACGCCAGUCUGCAUGGAGCCGACCUUGAAAUACCACCCUUUAAUGUUUGAUGUUCUAACGUGGACCCGUAAUCCGGGUUGCGGACAGUGUCUGGUGGGUAGUUUGACUGGGGCGGUCUCCUCCUAAAGAGUAACGGAGGAGCACGAAGGUUGGCUAAUCCUGGUCGGACAUCAGGAGGUUAGUGCAAUGGCAUAAGCCAGCUUGACUGCGAGCGUGACGGCGCGAGCAGGUGCGAAAGCAGGUCAUAGUGAUCCGGUGGUUCUGAAUGGAAGGGCCAUCGCUCAACGGAUAAAAGGUACUCCGGGGAUAACAGGCUGAUACCGCCCAAGAGUUCAUAUCGACGGCGGUGUUUGGCACCUCGAUGUCGGCUCAUCACAUCCUGGGGCUGAAGUAGGUCCCAAGGGUAUGGCUGUUCGCCAUUUAAAGUGGUACGCGAGCUGGGUUUAGAACGUCGUGAGACAGUUCGGUCCCUAUCUGCCGUGGGCGCUGGAGAACUGAGGGGGGCUGCUCCUAGUACGAGAGGACCGGAGUGGACGCAUCACUGGUGUUCGGGUUGUCAUGCCAAUGGCACU
rnacentral:rRNA from 1 species